GGUUCUGACUGCUGUUUAUUCAACAACUAAAGAGGUUUUUGAGUUUUGACAAUCCAACUUCACAGCACCGCUUCUGGAAUCCACCAUCACAGGUGAUCAUGAUCUCUCCAGAAAGGCACUUGAUU